rnacentral:rRNA from 1 species
AGAGUUUGAUCAUGGCUCAGGACGAACGCUGGCGGCGUGCCUAAUACAUGCAAGUCGGGCGGGGCUUGAGGAGGGCUUGCCCUUCGAGAGCCCAGCGGCGGACGGGUGAGUAACACGUGGGUAACCUGCCCGUAAGACCGGGAUAACUCCGGGAAACCGGGGCUAAUACCGGAUAACACCGGGGCCGCAUGGCUUCCGGUUGAAAGGCGGCCUUUGGCUGCCACUUACGGAUGGGCCCGCGGCGCAUUAGCUGGUUGGCGGGGUAACGGCCCACCAAGGCGACGAUGCGUAGCCGGCCUGAGAGGGUGGACGGCCACACUGGGACUGAGACACGGCCCAGACUCCUACGGGAGGCAGCAGUAGGGAAUCUUCCGCAAUGGGCGAAAGCCUGACGGAGCGACGCCGCGUGAGCGAGGAAGGCCUUCGGGUCGUAAAGCUCUGUUGUCAGGGAAGAAGGCGUGCCGUUCGAACAGGGCGGCGCGGUGACGGUACCUGACGAGGAAGCCCCGGCUAACUACGUGCCAGCAGCCGCGGUAAAACGUAGGGGGCG